CCAAUAGCGUAUAUUAAAGUUGUUGCAGUUAAAAAGCUCGUAGUUGAAUUUCGGGGUCAAUAGGUUGGUCGUGCCAAUGGUAUGUACUGGCUUUAUUGAUUCCUACCUCUUGACGAACUGUGAUGCCAUUAAUUUGGUGUUGCAGGAAAUCAGGACUGUUACCUUGAAAAAAUUAGAGUGUUUAAAGCAGGCUUACGCUUGAAUACAUUAGCAUGGAAUAAUGAAAUAGGACGUUUGAACCUAUUUUGUUGGUUUCUAGGAUCGACGUAAUGAUUAAUAGGGAUAGUUGGGGGCAUUAGUAUUCAAUUGUCAGAGGUGAAAUUCUUGGAUUUAUUGAAGACUAACUACUGCGAAAGCAUUUGCCAAGGAUGUUUUCAUUAACCAAGAACGGAAGUUAGGGGAUCGAAGACGAUCAGAUACCGUCGUAGUCUUAACCAUAAACUAUGCCGACUAGGGAUCGGAUGAUGUUAAUUUUUUAACGACUCAUUCGGCGCCUUACG
rnacentral:rRNA from 1 species